UUUACCUAAAAACAGGUGGAACCCAGACCACAGUAGAUGUGAGCUCCACUUGGUUCCAGACCAUUACAUCAGCAGUGGACUUAAUCCACAGAAAACAUCUAAGGGUUAAAUGACUUAUCAACAAGUUUGAUUUGUGAAAUGCUAAAAACGAAGCUGGCUAAAGGAGCACCUCCACUGUUAUGAUUUCUGCUGGCCAAAGUUCCUGGCCUAACUCUCCUGUAACAGGCACAUCAUACAAGAUUGUUUCACCAGGACUUGUGAGCUGCUGAACUGGAGUUGUCCUCUGCACUACUGGUGACACUUGCACCAAACUGCUUCAAUAUCAGCUCAGUAUCACAUCACUUCCUACGUUUUCAUAAAUGUUUCCACUUCUGAUUUGGUCAUUUAUAGCAGAUGCCAUCUCAUGUCAUUUAUGCAAUGGCCAAAGCAUAAGGUAUAUCCUGGGUAUUAGUGGUGGGAAGCACUAGACCACAGCCUUUGCUUCCCUGCCCAGCCUGGCUCUGUGACAUACUCUGGGCUGUGCCUCCUCUCCCUAUGUAAGAUGGGAUAGUAAUGGGUGGAUUAAAAAGCUAUCGGAGUCUUAACAGCUUGGCAUCACCUGCCAUUCAAUUCCCAUGAUUAAUGAGAGAGAAGUGAGUCAGAAAUGCAGAGCAGAGGCUGUGGAGGUCCCCUGGAAUCACACCAGAUGCACCAGUGUUCUUCUGCUGCAGUUGCCUUGUGUGGGGUCAGUUCUGAGAGGCAGCAGGCAGGCAGCUGAGGGAAGGGCUCUUGCAUGAGAGGAUGAGGCUGGGUGAAGUAUCCAGAGCAACUGUGGGAGAUAUUUUCUGUGUACAACCCUGAGAAUAUUUUCUGUAUGGCUUUGUCACUUAUAUGGUUAGUCAGUCCUGUCCCAGCUUUUUGCAAAAAAAAGAAAAGUGAAGAGAAAAGAAAAAAAAAACCUCCUUGUUUUUAAUGGUAACAUUUAAAAAUAUAAAACCCUCCUCAGUGGCCAAACCACAGAAAUUGCCAUGCAGAUCCGAGAGCAGGUGUGCUUCCUGGAGCUACUGGAACAGCAUCAGAAACCUGCUAGUUCCCCAGUAAAAAGUGUCCUCUUAAUUCUGGGUGAAAUUCUCCUCCAAAUGUGGUUGAGAGCAAAACUCCUAUUUACUUUAAUGCUUGCUGCCUUUCAUCUGUUUUUGCAAUAACUGGGAUCAGACCUGAGAAGUGCACACAACUAGUGUCUGUUAGGGCAGAAGGAAGCCAGUGAUGCUGGGAGAGGUUUAGGAAUGAGCUGUUUGGUAUGUCCACAUUCUUGGGAUGAGACCUUUCAUGAAUGUAACACAGCAAAGAAUAUUCCUGGUCUUUCACCAGUAAACUGAAGUUAUGGCCUUCCA